UUUGUUCCUUCAUCUGUGAGACUAGGGUGAGUCCUCCGAGCUAGUGUGAGACACUUGGAACUUGCUGUUUCCUGUGAAUUGAAAUGUUCCCUGGUGAGUUUGUCAGGAGUGUGAAGAGGCUCAAGACUCAGGAAGAUAAUGAAAGUUACAAGGCUUGCAAAGCUCAUAAAAGUUACAAGAUCCACCAGUAAUUGCUGGGAGAAGAAGAGAUUGUCCUCUGGCACUGAGCCCCAGUUGUGGAGGGACCAUUAGAGAUGUGGCUUCUGUGAGCUGAUCCUGAAUGAUCAGCACAAAGCAGUGUUAAGUACAGAAAUACAAAUUCGGAACACAGGUUCAAUAGCAUCACACAGUUGCCAGUUUCACGAAGUUUCUCAGUUAAAAUGGUCGUCUACUGAAAUUAACAAGGUGCCAAUGACUCAUGGGAUUGUCAGGAGUAGAAAACAUUGGAAGAGCUAAAACAGAAAGAAACAAACAGACCGCCCCCAACCCUUGCCACAUCCCAAACAAAACAUCUGUUGGUGAGACACAAAUGGACCUGCACUUAAACAAUUUCAUGCUACUUGCAGCUGAAGAAGGAAGUUGCAAACUAAAGAGACAUAUGAUACCUUCUUAUUUAAUAACUUCUAGAAUGCCAAGAGAAUAGAGAUUAUUUAUCCCACCUGAUGAGUUCUCCAUAUGGGGACUGUCCCUGUUGAAAUGGUCAACCAAGCUGGAUACACAAGAUACAGAAGCUCACAUAUCACUACACGCCCUUCUCCUUUGCACAUAAUUAUCUCAGUCAUGUGGUAUCCAUGGGUGGAAGUGAGUGGGAUGAAAACAGGGAAAGAAAGGGGAGGGGCUUAGUGCUUCCUAUCUCUCCAUUCUCACAAAGGCUAGAGGACCACACUGACUGUGCCUAGGCACGCCAGGAGUUCCUAUGCCUCAGGGCUUCUGAUUCUUCCCAGUGAAGUUGGUAGAAGGGCAUGAGGUCUGGUUUUAAGGGAGUCAUCUUACAGUCAAGAUUUAGGUAAAUCCUUUAGGUUUAAUCUUGAUCUCUGUUUAGAAAAUGUACCGUGUUCUUCAGUGGCUAGCUUGGAGAGUUCUGUUUGCUACGAGCACUGCCAAGGGUCCUUAAACAUUACUUAGGUGUUUCCCAGGAGAUAAUGCCUUAACACAUUUAGUGUAGGUACAGAGGAAAUAGAUGGCAGGUUAUCCAGGUUAUAUUAUGGGAGCCACCCUGAAUGGCCCUGAUUAUCUUCUUUGCCACGAGUCUAUGAUGACAUCUGGGAAUGUCUUAGACCUGGUUUCCCAACUUAAAUAUCCAGAAUGGUCUUUUAUCUCUGGGCUUAUGAACAAAAUCGAGGACUUACUGAAGUAACUGAAGGUAUGCAUUGGAGUGAAACCCGAGUUCCCACUAUCUUAAGCACAAUGACUUUUACAAAUUUCAAGUAAAAACUUGCAGAAUUUCUUUAAAAGUUUUUCUCUUUCUUUCUAAUUGGUGGAUUAAUAAAUGACGUUUAGUAGUA
rnacentral:lncRNA from 1 species